CUCCACAAUCAAAAGAUCCUAUGAGAAUGGACACAGUUUGAUCAUGGUGUCCAGAAUUGAUAAAUGUGGCUAAAUUGAGACACGGGUUAGGCUUCUAUCACAGUAAAAUUUAUUGCAGUGGUGACAAUGAGACAGGUAAUACUU
rnacentral:snoRNA from 1 species